rnacentral:lncRNA from 1 species
AGAUAAUUGGCUCCCUGCCCAGGAUUGAACACAGAAGGCUCUGAGAAGCACCAGAAGUUCUACCAUAAGCUUCUGAAGUCAGCUGACAACCACUGAGUCCUCUGGGAAGUCAGAACUCUGUGUAAUUGCCCAAAUCUCCUCCAGGCCUAGCUAGACUUGACUUCAGUGACUAGUGGUUCAUUUGCUCAAUCUGUCUGAUAGCUCACCAGGGGAAAACAGGCUUUUCAUCAUUUGUAAAAUGAGAAACAUCACAUUUUAAAACAAUAUAUAUAAUAAAACUCCUCUAGUCUCUUUGAAUGUUAAAGAAGGGAGCAAGUGUUUCGUUUAAAUGCUAAUAAAUA